rnacentral:rRNA from 1 species
UACGUAGGGUGCGAGCGUUAAUCGGAAUUACUGGGCGUAAAGCGUGCGCAGGCGGUUCGUUGUGUCGGCGGUGAAAGCCCCGGGCUCAACCUGGGAAUGGCCGUUGAAACUGGCGAACUGGAGUGUGGCAGAGGGGGGUGGAAUUCCGCGUGUAGCAGUGAAAUGCGUAGAGAUGCGGAGGAACACCGAUGGCGAAGGCAGCCCCCCUGGGCUGACACUGACGCUCAGGCACGAAAGCGUGGGGAGCGAACAGG